CAUUCCAACCUCCAGGGUUCCCUCCUCCAUGUCAAUAUUGUUGUUUUCCGCACCCAUAUUUUAACCUGAAAAUUAACAAACAAAGAAAAUGAAGCAACAUCCUAUGCCCGCAAGUACUGAUAAAUCACUUUACAAUUGAUCAUCAGAUCACAUCUCAUUACAUAAACAAGAAAGCAUCAAAAUGCCAAGAUGAGCAGCAGAGACGGAUACAAAAAUUCAAAUCAGCAGCAGGUGCUAAAUAUUACCACACUCACUAUUUAGUAUAGAAAAAUUUCCAACUAUACAUAAACUGUGAGCCAAAGGCCUAAAAAGCUAGGGCAGUAACAAACAGAGAUAUCAACAGUAAUAAAACAGAGCAAUUAGGAGAUACAUACAAAUAAAAUUAUUACUUAUGGGUAAAGUCAAAGGCAGUGGAUUGUGUAGAGAUGUGUCGCAGUGAGAUCGAAGGGUUGUAAAUUGCGUUAACUAAAUGGAAAGGUGAAGAAUGGAAGAUUGGAGAAUGGAUCUGUAAGAAAAAGGUAAGUACCUUUUCUGCUUCUGAAUCCAAGACAGAGCAAGAGAAUAGAGGAGAGAGAGAGAGAGAGAGAGAGAGAGAGAGAG
rnacentral:lncRNA from 1 species